rnacentral:rRNA from 1 species
AUUGAACGCUGGCGGCAGGCCUAACACAUGCAAGUCGAACGAGUGGCGGACGGGUGAGUAAUGUCUGGGAAACUGCCUGAUGUAGGGGGAUAACUACUGGCAACGGUAGCUAAUACCGCAUACCAUCGGAUGUGCCCAGAUGGGAUUAGCUAGUAGGUGGGGUAAAGGCUCACCUAGGCGGCGAUCCCUAGCUGGUCUGAGAGGAUGACCAGCCACACUGGAACUGAGACACGGUCCAGACUCCUACGGGAGGAAGCAGUGGGGAAUAUUGGACAAUGGGCGCAAGCCUGAUGCAGCCAUGCCGCGUGUAUGAAGAAGGCCUUCGGGUUGUAAAGUGCUUUCAGCGGAGAAGCGUUACCAACCGAAUAAGCAACGGCUAACUUCGUGCCAGCAGCCGCGGUAAUUC